UGCCCUAGUAACGGCGAGUGAAGCGGCAACAGCUCAAAUUUGAAAUCUGGCUCUCGGGCCCGAGUUGUAAUUUGUAGAGGAUGCUUUUGAUGCGGUGCCUUCCGAGUUCCCUGGAACGGGACGCCAUAGAGGGUGAGAGCCCCGUCUGGUUGGAUGCCAAAUCUCUGUAAAGCUCCUUCGACGAGUCGAGUAGUUUGGGAAUGCUGCUCUAAAUGGGAGGUAUAUGUCUUCUAAAGCUAAAUACCGGCCAGAGACCGAUAGCGCACAAGUAGAGUGAUCGAAAGAUGAAAAGCACUUUGAAAAGAGAGUUAAAAAGUACGUGAAAUUGUUGAAAGGGAAGCGUUUAUGACCAGACUUGGGCUUGGAUAAUCAUCUGGGGUUCUCUCCAGUGCACUUUUCCAGUCCAGGCCAGCAUCAGUUUUCGCCGGGGGAUAAAGGCUUCGGGAAUGUGGCUCUCUCCGGGGAGUGUUAUAGCCCGUUGCGUAAUACCCUGGCGGGGACUGAGGUUCGCGCAUCUGCAAGGAUGCUGGCGUAAUGGUCAUCAACGACCCGUCUUGAAACACGGACCAAGGAGUCGUCUUCGUAUGCGAGUGUUCGGGUGUCAAACCCCUACGCGUAAUGAAAGUGAACGCAGGUGAGAGCUUCGGCGCAUCAUCGACCGAUCCUGAUGUUCUCGGAUGGAUUUGAGUAAGAGCAUACGGGGCCGGACCCGAAAGAAGGUGAACUAUGCCUGUGUAGGGUGAAGCCAGAGGAAACUCUGGUGGAGGCUCGCAGCGGUUCUGACGUGCAAAUCGAUCGUCAAACAUGGGCAUG
rnacentral:rRNA from 1 species